rnacentral:rRNA from 1 species
CGCAUGAAAGUGUGGCUAAUACGGGUUAUUCUGGGUCUGUCGCAUGGUGGGCCUGGGAAAGGUUUGUUCCGGUGGGGGUUGGGCUCGCGGCCUAUCAGCUUGUUGGUGGGGUGAUGGCCUACCAAGGCGGUGACGGGUAGCCGGCCUGAGAGGGUGGACGGUCACACUGGGACUGAGACACGGCCCAGACUCCUACGGGAGGCAGCAGUGGGGAAUAUUGCACAAUGGGCGCAAGCCUGAUGCAGCGACGCCGCGUGAGGGAUGGAGCC